rnacentral:tRNA from 2 species
GGAGAGGUUCCCGAGUGGCUAAAGGGGACGGGCUGUAAACCCGUUGGCGUACGCCUACGGAGGUUCGAAUCCUCCCCUCUCCA